UUAACUUAAGUGAGGUUUUGAAGACAGCAUGUUUACUUGUACUGGUUUAUUUUCACACUGUGGUUUUAAUAUAUUUAUUUCAAUAACUUUGUUGAGCUUGUUUUUAGCUUUAUUUGUAUCUCACUGAACAUAUGUGAACUUGUUCAGCUGAUAAGGCUGGUUAUGAAACAGAGAAGGGGGGGGGGGGCUGCAGACAGGGAGGGAGGGAAGUUGAAAGUGAAAGUAUGAAGUCAGACUUGUCAGAGUGCCAGAAGCCAUUUUACAGCUCAACGGAGCAGGAGGACAACAGGCAGGGGGAGACACAUCCUAAUGAACACGUGGUGAUCAGAGAUCUGACCCUAACAUAACAGCAGACUGGAGAAGAUGAGUGGUUUUAAAGAUGAGGAAGAGGACACAUCUCCAGUCCCCAGCUGUCUGUCUCUGAAGAGUGACCAGUCUAAUGAUCCACCUCCAGACUUCAGUAAUGAACCUGGACCCUCAGACACAAAAGGGAAGAGGAAGAGUGGUGUUCCUGUGGAGGAGCAGCUGUCCAGCUGUGC